rnacentral:rRNA from 1 species
UACAGAGGUCCCGAGCGUUGUUCGGAUUCACUGGGCGUAAAGGGCUCGUAGGCGGCCAACUAAGUCGGACGUGAAAUCCCUCAGCUUAACUGGGGAACUGCGUCUGAUACUGGAUGGCUUGGAUUUGGGAGAGGGAUGCGGAAUUCCAGGUGUAGCGGUGAAAUGCGUAGAUAUCUGGAGGAACACCGGUGGCGAAGGCGGCAUCCUGGACCAACAUUGACGCUGAGGAGCGAAAGCCAGGGGAGCAAACGGG